AUUGAACGCUGGCGGCAUGCCUUACACAUGCAAGUCGAACGGCAGCACGGGAGCAAUCCUGGUGGCGAGUGGCGAACGGGUGAGUAAUAUAUCGGAACGUGCCCAGUCGUGGGGAUAACGUAGCGAAAGCUACGCUAAUACCGCAUACGAUCUAUGGAUGAAAGCGGGGGGAGUCGCAAGACCUCGCGCGAUUGGAGCGGCCGAUAUCAGAUUAGGUAGUUGGUGAGGUAAAGGCUCACCAAGCCGACGAUCUGUAGCUGGUCUGAGAGGACGACCAGCCACACUGGGACUGAGACACGGCCCAGACUCCUACGGGAGGCAGCAGUGGGGAAUAUUGGACAAUGGGCGGAAAGCCUGAUCCAGCCAUGCCGCCGUGUGUGAAGAAGGUCUUCGGAUUGUAAG
rnacentral:rRNA from 1 species